UAUAAUCAACUUUAUAUUUAGAUAUAUAAAGAAUGUAUAAAAAGGGACUAUUAUGGAUUACUAGCUAACAUAUCAAGGAGGGAGCUAACGCCCCAAAAUCAUAGUUAAAAAAUUAUCUAUGUAACUCCUAAGGGAAACCAAAUAUAAUUACAGAGUGAAGUGAAACAUCUAAAUAACUCUAGGAAAAGAAAUCAACCGAGAUUCCAUUAGUAGUGGUGAGCGAACGUGGAUUAGCCUAUAAUAUAUAUUCGAAAUUAUUCGAAAAAUAAACCUUAAGAUUUAUAUAUAAUUAAUAUAGAAAUAAAUAUUUAUGGUUAGAUUAAGGGAUUAAUAGAUUUGAAGAUCUAGCCAAAGAUGGUGAUAAGCCCAGUAACAACCUUAAUAUAUAUUUAAACAAGUAGAACGGGAGAAAACCUGUUUGAAUUGUUUCUCCUUUUAUGUUAUUAUAAUUAUAAUAAUAUAAAAGAUAUGGGGGAACCAUCCUCUAAGGCUAAAUAUGGUAUGUUAAGCGAUAGAGAAAGUACCGUGAGGGAAAGUUUGAAAAGAUUUGCCUAAGGCAUAGUGAAAAAGAGAUGAAAUAGUAGUUCUAUAAGCAGCCGGAAUAAAUUCUUUAAUGAAUAAUAACGGUGUACCUUUUGCAUAAUGGGUCAGCAACUUAAUCGGUGGUGCAAGCAGAAAUGCCUAGACAAAACGACUAUAUUAUGAAUGAUGGGAAUAAAUAAUAAAAUUAUUAUUAUUAAUAGUACCCUCGAUUAGACCCGAAACCAAGUGAUCUUACCAUGGUCAAGUAUAUAAAUGACUGAACGGAUGUUUGUCGCAAAAAGCUCCGAUGAACUGUGGUAAGUAAGUGAAAGACAAAUCUGACUUGGAGAUAGCUGGUAUUCCGCGAAACCUAUUUUAGUAGGUCAUCUAUUUAAACUUAUUAGUAUUUUUUAUAUAGUUAUAUUAAAUUCUUUUUGAGUUAUUUACUUAUUAGCAGGUACAGCACUUGAAUUCCAUAAUUUAUAUUAAUUAUUUUUUAUUAAAUAUAAAUUUAUAUUGGGGGGUCGUGAAGGCUCUAUCAUUGGAAAUUAACCUCGGAAUGGCAAAUAAGAAUAAUAGACAAUCAGACACCUGGUGCUAAGGUCAUGUGUCAAAAGGGAAACAGCCCAGAACAAGAAAAUUAAGGCUCCUAAAUUAUUGUUAAGUGAAAUAAAGGGAGUUAUUCACCUUAUACAGCCAUGAAGUGAGCUUAGAGGCAGCUAUCUUUGAGUAUAGAAGUACUUAAAGGAACCCCUGAUCAAUGGCGGCCUUAACUAUAAUUAAAGACCGCGUAAUAGCGCAGUGGUCCAAUAAUUAAAGGGAGAAUAGCACCGAAAAUUUAUCGGAUCUAAACAAUAUGCCGAAAUCUUGUCUUUAUAUUAUAUAUAUAAUAUAAAGGGUAGCGGAACAUUCAGUAAAUGUAUGAAGAGUAGUGUUUCAUUACUUGGACAUAACUGAAGAGAGAAUGCUGACAUGAGUAACGUUAAAGGUGGUAAUAUAAUCCACCUCGCCUUAAGCAGAAGGGUUUCAAGGCAAUGCUUAACAGCCUUGAGUAAAGUAACGGCCUCUAAGAUAAUAACCGAAAGGGUUAAAACGAUGAGAAAAACUUCUUUUUGAAUAAAAACCUAAUUUAUUAGUUAAAAGGUUCAGGAAAAAACAAAAAGAUUGAUUAAAUAAACCGUACCCUAAACCGACACUGGUUUGCUGGUAGGGAAUACUAAGGCGUAUGAGAGAACUAUCGCGAAGGAACUCGGCAAAAUGCCUCCGUAACUUAGGGAGAAGGAGUACCGUAUUGAUGAACUCAAACGGCCACAGAAAAUCGUGUUGUACAACUGUUUACUUAAAACACAGUACUUUGCAGAGACGUAAGUCUAAGUAUAAGGUAUGAAAUCUGCCCGAUGUCAUAGGCUAACUAAGAGUAUAGAAGUACUUAAAGGAACCCCUGAUCAAUGGCGGCCUUAACUAUAAGGGUCCUAAGGUAAGCUUUGAAAUAAAAGCUAGUAUAAUUUAUACGCUGCCUAAUGACUUUUCUUUGUCAUUUAAACUUCACUGUAUGCUGGGAUAUCCUUAAGUUAAAUAUAAUAACUCUUUUUUGAUAUAUUAAAUUCUAACAGGACAAUCCGCAGGAAACCAAUAUUUAAGUUAAAUUAAAUUAAAAGGAUCCUCAGAGACUAUACGUGAAGAACAAAUAAACUUAAAUAUUUGUUUCUGUUUCCAAAAUUAACAAAAUCAUGAAAAAAAAUAUUGAAUUCAAUCAAACAAAUUUACAUCCGGCUUGGAUUGUCGGAUUUAUAGAUGGCGAAGGAACUUUUUUUAUCGGUAUUAACUCGGCUAAAACUAUGAAAUUAGGUUAUCAAGUUCUUCUUGAAUUUGUUAUCACACAACAUAAAAAAGAUUAUGACCUUAUGGUUAAAAUUAAAAACUUUUUUAAUUGUGGAUACCUUGUAAAAGAUGGAUCUGAUAAAUAUCAAUUUAGAAUUAGAGGAUUAGAACAAUUAGAAAAUAACCUUCAAUAAAAAAUGAACAAAAAUAAAAUAAAUUUAUUUGUUAUGAUAUAGUCCAUAUUUACUUUAAUAGGUAAAGAUAAAAGAGCGAAAUUCCUUGGCCGUUAAAUGCGGUCCAGCAUGAACGAUCCCAUGAUACAACAGCUGUCUCCGCGAUAGACUCAGUGAAAUUGGAAUAGCUGUGCAGAUACAGUUUACCCAUAGUCAGACGGGAAGACCCUAUGCAGCUUUACUGUAACUAGUUAUUGCUUACGAUCGGAUUAGGUUGUAGAGUAUAAGGUAGUCGAUUAGACCUAUGUGAAACACCUUUACCUAUUAGGCCGUAAGCUGGUAGAGCUAUCGCUUUACCCUUUAUCAAAAUUAUAUAAUUGAGAAAGUUUCUAUUGAAAUAUAAAAUUGAUAUUUUAGUUGUGUAAUAACAAUUAAAAUAUUCAAUAAGAAAAAGAGCAGCUGUUACUUUAUUUUUA
rnacentral:rRNA from 1 species